rnacentral:rRNA from 1 species
AUCAGGUAGGACUACCCG